AUUCCAGCUGCUAUGUUGGUGUUGAUCACACCAAGAAUAAUUCGCCUCAGCAGGGUUUGGUGCCUGCCAAGAUCUCCCUGUGGAUACACUGCUUGUGAAGCUUUGGGUCCUGCUCUGUCGUUGUGUGAAUCUGGCCCCUGGAUUUCUUGGUUGUGGGUCUCUUUGGAGGGACUCUUGUGCAGGCCAAUGUCAGAUGCUGCCUGUGACUUGCCCUAGGCAGCCUGUCUGGAUCUGUCAGUGACCCACAGCUUGUGGCUCCCUCUUCUGGGCCUGGGUACAUUCACAGAAGACCAAGCUAUGCACCAAGGUUGGCUUUUACCAGCACCGGGUCUGGGGCAGGCCAGCGAAAGUCUCAAAGCACCCAGAGAUCCACCUCCACCUGCAGGCUGCCUGUCAGGUUCAGUCCCUGAAAGAGCCUCCGACUGCAGCCCCCUGCAGGGUGUAAGCUCCACAGGGUCAGCAGGGCUUCUAGCUGGCUGGAUUGGGAGCAGAGGUGUCCCUGGGCCACCUGAUCGGCUCACCUUCCCACAAGAUCCACCGGUUCCGUCCCGGCCCACAGCCCAGGGAUGUGAGCUCCAGAGGUGUGGGCCUGGGUCCAGUCCUGGCUCUCAGGCACCCUCCAGGGGCAGUUCUCCAGGGUCCACUAGGGCCUCCGAGAGAGAUGCUCUUCCGAGGUGACCACUGGGGACUCGACUUAUGGAAGCGCUGGCCCGUGCACACUUCACUGCGUCACCGUCCUCCAGGGCCGCAGUGACAGCGCCAUCGUCUGUGGAGUCUCCCCCUGCGGCCGGCCCCAGCGAAGCACCUUGUCCCAGUAAGUCGACCAGCUCAUGUGUCCAUGGCUGGACAUCGCAGGCGUGUCC